GCCGUGCUGCAGGCGGAAGCGCUGCACGAAGAGCCGGGCCCCGCAGGCCUCGUAGACGAAGCGGGGGCUGGAGCCCAGCUCCCUGUCCCGCAGGGCGCGGAUGGCCUGCCAGCGGGGCUGCGGCAGCGCCGUGGUCUCCGAGGACACCCAGUCCUCCAGCGCCUGCUCGUCGUCCGAGGAGUCUCGCUCGUGGUUGGCACGUUUGCGCUGAGCGCGGCGGUGGGAUCGCUGCUCCUCCUCUUCGUCCUCCUCCUCCUCCUCCUCCGAGUGCGAGCAGUCGAGGGUGCGCGUCUCCUCGUUGAUGGAGUAGUGGCCCGUGUCGUCCAUGCUGUCAGAGUCCUUCUCCUCCCCCGAGCUCUCGGUGUCGGUGUCGCGGCUCUCCGUGCUGGUGCGGUUGGGCCCCACGUCGUCUCCCGUGAGGCUCAGGCUGAGGUCGGACGCCUCCACCUCGAUGCCGGAGGAAAUUUCUCUGCCCUCCUCGGCUGACAUCUCCUCUGGGCUGCUGGACAGGCUGCCGUUCGCGAUGUCCGUCUUUCCGUCCAUGCUGUUCCCUUUAUCCGACAUCUCCUUUCCCACUGUGUGCUUCCCCUGCGAGCAGCGGCGGAGUUCUGCUGGCAGAGGAAGGGUUAAGGCCUGGCGGGGUCGGGAACCGGGGACAGCCGUCCCAGCACCGCAGCGCCACGGGGACAACAGUGACGGUCCCUUUUGCUGCCGUUCCCGGCCAACGCUCAGGCGCAAGCCCCGCGCUCCCCAACUGCUCCCCCUCCGCCGGCCCCGAGCCCAA
rnacentral:lncRNA from 1 species